UAGGAACCAUGCGGAUAGACGCCGCCCAACCCCGCCAGGUCCGGAAGGAAGCAACGGUCAGCGAUUGUUUAUCGCGCCGUGGCAUCGGAGUU
rnacentral:SRP_RNA from 1 species